rnacentral:rRNA from 1 species
GUAGGGAAUAUUGGGCAAUGGUCGGAAGACUGACCCAGCCAUGCCGCGUGCAGGAAGACGGCCCUCUGGGUUGUAAACUGCUUUUAUCUGGGAAGAAAAAGGCCAUGCGUGGCAAAUUGCCGGUACCAGAUGAAUAAGCACCGGCUAACUCCGUGCCAGCAGCCGCGGUAAUACGGAGGGUGCGAGCGUUGUCCGGAUUUAUUGGGUUGAAAGGGUGCGUAGGCGGCUGAUUAAGUCAGCGGUGAAAGACUUCGGCUUAACCGGAGCAGUGCCGUUGAUACUGGUUGGCUUGAGUGUCGGAGGGGUACAUGGAAUUGAUGGUGUAGCGGUGAAAUGCAUAGAUACCAUCAGGAACACCGAUAGCGAAGGCAUUGUACUGGCCGACAACUGACGCUGAUGCACGAAAGUGUGGGGAUCGAACAGGAUUAGAUACCCCGGUAGUCC